UACAGAGGGGGCAAGCGUUGUUCGGAAUUACUGGGCGUAAAGGGCGCGUAGGCGGCCCGCUAAGUCGAACGUGAAAUCCCCGAGCUCAACUCGGGAACUGCGUCCGAUACUGGCGGGCUUGAAUCCGGGAGAGGGAUGCGGAAUUCCAGGUGUAGCGGUGAAAUGCGUAGAUAUCUGGAGGAACACCGGUGGCGAAGGCGGCAUCCUGGACCGGCAUUGACGCUGAGGUGCGAAAGCUAGGGUAGCAAACGGG
rnacentral:rRNA from 1 species